rnacentral:rRNA from 1 species
UACGAAGGGGGGCUAGCGUUGCUCGGAAUUACUGGGCGUAAAGCGCACGUAGGCGGACUACUAAGUCAGGGGUGAAAUCCCGGGGCUCAACCCCGGAACUGCCUUUGAUACUGAUAGUCUCGAGUCCGGAAGAGGUGAGUGGAAUUCCGAGUGUAGAGGUGAAAUUCGUAGAUAUUCGGAGGAACACCAGUGGCGAAGGCGGCUCACUGGUCCGGUACUGACGCUGAGGUGCGAAAGCGUGGGGAGCAAACAGG